GUGUCAGCCGCCGCGGUAAUACGGAGGGCGCAAGCGUUAAUCGGAAUUACUGGGCGUAAAGCGCACGCAGGCGGUUUGUUAAGUCGGAUGUGAAAUCCCCGGGCUCAACCUGGGAACCGCAUUUGAAACUGGUUCACUAGAGUACUGUAGAGGGGGGUAGAAUUUCAGGUGUAGCGGUGAAAUGCGUAGAGAUCUGAAGGAAUACCGGUGGCGAAGGCGGCCCCCUGGACAGAUACUGACACUCAGAUGCGAAAGCGUGGGGAGCAAACAGGAUUAGAUACCCUCGUAGUCC
rnacentral:rRNA from 1 species